rnacentral:rRNA from 1 species
AUUGAACGCUGGCGGCAGGCCUAACACAUGCAAGUCGAGCGGAUGAAGGGAGCUUGCUCCUGGAUUCAGCGGCGGACGGGUGAGUAAUGCCUAGGAAUCUGCCUGGUAGUGGGGGAUAACGUCCGGAAACGGGCGCUAAUACCGCAUACGUCCUGAGGGAGAAAGUGGGGGAUCUUCGGACCUCACGCUAUCAGAUGAGCCUAGGUGGGAUUAGCUAGUUGGUGGGGUAAAGGCCUACCAAGGCGACGAUCCGUAACUGGUCUGAGAGGAUGAUCAGUCACACUGGACCUGAGACACGGUCCAGACUCCUACGGGAGGCAGCAGUGGGGAAUAUUGGACAAUGGGCGAAAGCCUGAUCCAGCCAUGCCGCGUGUGUGAAGAAGGUCUUCGGAUUGUAAAGCACUUUAAGUUGGGAGGAAGGGCAGUAAGUUAAUACCUGGCUGUUUUGACGUUACCAACAGAAUAAGCACCGGCUAACUUCGU